rnacentral:rRNA from 1 species
GAUGAACGCUGGCGGCGUGCCUAAUACAUGCAAGUCGAGCGAACAGACGAGGAGCUUGCUCCUCUGACGUUAGCGGCGGACGGGUGAGUAACACGUGGAUAACCUACCUAUAAGACUGGGAUAACUUCGGGAAACCGGAGCUAAUACCGGAUAAUAUAUUGAACCGCAUGGUUCAAUAGUGAAAGACGGUUUUGCUGUCACUUAUAGAUGGAUCCGCGCCGCAUUAGCUAGUUGGUAAGGUAACGGCUUACCAAGGCAACGAUGCGUAGCCGACCUGAGAGGGUGAUCGGCCACACUGGAACUGAGACACGGUCCAGACUCCUACGGGAGGCAGCAGUAGGGAAUCUUCCGCAAUGGGCGAAAGCUUGACGGAGCAACGCCGCGUGAGUGAUGAAGGUCUUCGGAUCGUAAAACUCUGUUAUUAGGGAAGAACAAAUGUGUAAGUAACUAUGCACGUCUUGACGGUACCUAAUCAGAAAACCACGGCUAACUACGU